UGGAAAUGGAAUCUGUAUGCAGUAUUCAGCCGAGCUAUCCUGUACCCAGUGGAAAUGCAUGCUAACAUUUGACUGGAGAACACACAAAGGGAUGCACUGAGACCUCUACAAAAGGGUAACGGUAUGACGUGAACAUUGAGGCCAGAAGAAGGACGUUCCUACAUCCGAAACUGCCGGCGUAGCCUCUGAGCGCCCCUUACCGUCCUCGUCUAUGCCGUGGUGAUCCCAAACCUCGGGCUUGCAGCAGUCUACCCGCGGAUCUCAACUUACAAGACCGCCCCAGGACGCCUGGUAUGGACAGACACAGGCAGCUGCUGUUUCUUCUUCUGCCUUAAGGCUGACUACAGUGUUGUGCCCGGAACACAACACACCCAGGGCAUCACAUGGAUCAACACAGAAGAUGCUGAGUAGUAAUGCCUUUUUCUAACACUGGUCCUCUGGGAAGAAAGAAGUAAUGGAAAUAAAAACAUUGAGCUGUUACCAUAGAGAAAAAUCCUACGCACAAUAGUACAGAAUAAACGUAUGUACAAAGUCAUUGUGUCCUGUGUCCUGCAAUGGCAUCAAUGACUGGAGGGUCUGUACAUAUACUAGGAAUGAGAAGUAAAGCUAUGAUAUUCCACGGUGGCCAAAAAAUAAAUGUAACUUAAAAGUACUCUACACUACACAGUGUCAUUAGUAUAGUACUUUUACUUUUUAUUCUAUUACUGAUAACCUAUAAAUAAACAAAUGUGCAGCAGUACGAUUUAGGAUUUGGAUUGUUUACUUACAACAAAACACCUGAUCUCCUAGCAAUAAAAACAA